rnacentral:tRNA from 1 species
UGAGGCUUUAGCUCAGUUGGUAGAGCAUCUCACUUUUAAUGAGAGGGUCGAUGGUUCGAGCCCAUCAAGCCUCAU